GAUCAUGGCUCAGAACGAACGCUGGCGGCAGGCCUAACACAUGCAAGUCGAGCGAGACCUUCGGGUCUAGCGGCGGACGGGUGAGUAACGCGUGGGAACGUGCCCUUUGGUACGGAAUAGCCCCGGGAAACUGGGAGUAAUACCGUAUAAGCUCUUCGGAGGAAAGAUUUAUCGCCAAAGGAUCGGCCCGCGUUGGAUUAGGUAGUUGGUGGGGUAAUGGCCUACCAAGCCGACGAUCCAUAGCUGGUUUGAGAGGAUGAUCAGCCACACUGGGACUGAGACACGGCCCAGACUCCUACGGGAGGCAGCAGUGGGGAAUCUUAGACAAUGGGCGCAAGCCUGAUCUAGCCAUGCCGCGUGAGCGAUGAAGGCCUUAGGGUUAGUAAAGCUCUUUCAGUGGGGAAGAUAAUGACUGUACCCACAGAAGAAGCCCCGGCUAACUCCGUG
rnacentral:rRNA from 1 species